GCAGACACAUCUCUGAAUAUAUCCCAACUUUUCCAAUGAAGACAGUACAUUAGAAAUUGGGUCAUUGUUGAAGGCACUGAGGAAUCUAGUAAAUGGAGCCAUGGGAAGACUGAAAUCAUGUUGCCAGGGUGAGAGCAAAUAUAUUAGCACCAUGAAAGCUAAGUCUGCUGCACUGCUGGUGCCACCUGGGCCCACUCAUUUCAUCAUUUACCAAUCACUUGCUGAGUACUGAAAGGUUUUGAUUCAGAGAGAAAACCUCACACUAUUGCCAAAUAAUGCAAGAGGAAUUCCAGAUAACCCGAUGUCAUAUGUUGCUAUAAUCAUCUAAAAUACUAACAAACAAUAAUGACAGAAAAGUGACUCUGCCCUCCAAAAAUAUUCGCUAAAAUUACCAGGAUCUGCAACUCUGACAAGGGGGAGAGGAGGGAGGGGGGGGGAGAGAGAAUGAAGCAGGAAGAACAGGCUAAGCCACUCAUAGAGGACUUAGGAGAGAGGCAGAUUGCCAAGCGGCCCCACCCUCCCUCAGAAAGGGACGACAAAAUAAUAAUAACAAUAAAAAUUAAAAAGCAUUAAUUUGUCAACUAGCUGAACCCUAACUUGUGGAAGGGCAAGCCUACCCCGGAAGCCAGGUCUGUUAACAGCCGUGAGUCCGACCCUAUAUUCAAAGACAUGGGAAGGAGAAAGGUUAUCGGGCUAAGACGAUGCGAGUCCAAAUUCUACUUGGCGGAUCCCUUGAGAAGACCUUGGAGAUAAAGCGCAGUCCCAUGCCAUCCUACUCAGAUGGAAGUCCGCACUGACUUCCAGGGAUUUUACUCACAGGUGCGUGUUCCGGAUUACAAGCCCAGGAGUUUGGGACUGCAAAAGUAAGGACAAAAAAAAUAAAUAAAAAUGCAGACCUGGCGAAAUAGGAAGGGGGGAAAACGAGACUUCGGAAUCUAUUUGUCCGGUGCACUUCAGGUCCUUACCUGGACGAAUCCUUCAGCAAAGCAGAUUCUCUUCCUCGCGCGGCUUCUUUCCUCCUCCUCCUCCUCCUCCUCGCUCUCUCGGAACGGCCACUCUCCUCCACUGCGCAAGGUCACAGGCUCCGCUCUACUAGGCGAGAGAUACUUCGCGUUUCUUUCCUGCUGCUUCUCCGCCGAGGGAGCCCCCGCCAGUUGCAAGUUCGUUGCGCGCCUCCUUCAAGGCGGAGUAGCGGCUGGGCGGCGGAGCGAUCGGCUUUUCCUUCCCUGCCCCGCAACCUGCAGCCUCUCCUCGCCUCGCCACAACCGGUCCGGGGAACAAGAGUUCUUCUCUUCGUCUGGUCGGUGAGGCCCCGCCUUCCGUCCCGGACUAAGCUCCGCCCCGAAUGCUGCUCUCCGCCAGCAGGUAUGGGCAGAGCUACAAUGGAACAGGGAAGCCAGAAGGACAGCCCGGCGGACCAACCACCGUUUGCUUCCACUGCCCUACCGGCCGGGACCUGGGCGAAGUUUGGAGGGGAACAAAAGCUUUUUUAAAAAAAAAAAUGUUUAUGGAACUUGUUAAAGGCGCUCGGUUUAAGCCC